UGGGGAAUUUUGGACAAUGGGCGCAAGCCUGAUCCAGCCAUGCCGCGUGAGUGAAGAAGGCCUUCGGGUUGUAAAGCUCUUUCGGUGGGGAAGAAAUGGUUUCGGUUAAUACCCGGAACUGAUGACGGUACCCGCAUAAGAAGCACCGGCUAACUACGUGCCAGCAGCCGCGGUAAUACGUAGGGUGCGAGCGUUAAUCGGAAUUACUGGGCGUAAAGCGUGCGCAGGCGGUUGGGUAAGUCAGAUGUGAAAUCCCCGGGCUCAACCUGGGAACUGCAUUUGAGACUGCACGGCUAGAGUGUGGCAGAGGGGGGUAGAAUUCCACGUGUAGCAGUGAAAUGCGUAGAGAUGUGGAGGAAUACCGAUGGCGAAGGCAGCCCCCUGGGCCAAUACUGACGCUCAUGCACGAAAGCGUGGGGAGCAAACA
rnacentral:rRNA from 1 species